rnacentral:rRNA from 1 species
ACGACUNUCGGCAACGGAUAUCUNGGCUCUCGCAUCGAUGAAGAACGUAGCGAAAUGCGAUACUUGGUGUGAAUUGCAGAAUCCCGUGAACCAUCGAGUCUUUGAACGCAAGUUGCGCCCGAAGCCGUCAGGCCAAGGGCACGUCUGCCUGGGUGUCACGCA